rnacentral:rRNA from 1 species
CCUACGGGGGGCAGCAGUAGGGAAUCUUCCGCAAUGGACGAAAGUCUGACGGAGCAACGCCGCGUGAGUGAGGAAGGCCUUCGGGUCGUAAAGCUCUGUUGUGAGGGAAGAAGCGGUACCGUUCGAAUAGGGCGGUACCUUGACGGUACCUCACCAGAAAGCCACGGCUAACUACGUGCCAGCAGCCGCGGUAAUACGUAGGUGGCAAGCGUUGUCCGGAAUUAUUGGGCGUAAAGCGCGCGCAGGCGGCUUCUUAAGUCUGAUGUGAAAUCUCGGGGCUCAACCCCGAGCGGCCAUUGGAAACUGGGGAGCUUGAGUGCAGAAGAGGAGAGUGGAAUUCCACGUGUAGCGGUGAAAUGCGUAGAGAUGUGGAGGAACACCAGUGGCGAAGGCGACUCUCUGGUCUGUAACUGACGCUGAGGCGCGAAAGC